rnacentral:rRNA from 1 species
GCAGCAGUGGGGAAUUUUCCGCAAUGGGCGAAAGCCUGACGGAGCAACGCCGCGUGAGGGACGAAGGCCUCUGGGCUGUAAACCUCUUUUCUCAAGGAAGAAGAUAUGACGGUACUUGAGGAAUAAGCCACGGCUAAUUCCGUGCCAGCAGCCGCGGUAAUACGGGAGUGGCAAGCGUUAUCCGGAAUUAUUGGGCGUAAAGCGUCCGCAGGCGGCCUUUCAAGUCUGCUGUUAAAGCGUGGAGCUUAACUCCAUCAUGGCAGUGGAAACUGAAAGGCUUGAGUAUGGUAGGGGCAGAGGGAAUUCCCGGUGUAGCGGUGAAAUGCGUAGAUAUCGGGAAGAACACCAGUGGCGAAGGCGCUCUGCUGGGCCAUUACUGACGCUCAUGGACGAAAGCCAGGGGAGCGAAAGGGAUUAGAUACCCCUGUAGUCCUGGCCGUAAACGAUGAACACUAGGUGUCGGGGGAAUCGACCCCUUCGGUGUCGUAGCUAACGCGUUAAGUGUUCCGCCUGGGGAGUACGCACGCAAGUGUGAAACUCAAAGGAAUUGACGGGGGCCCGCACAAGCGGUGGAGUAUGUGGUUUAAUUCGAUGCAACGCGAAGAACCUUACCAGGGUUUGACAUCCUGCGAACCUCUUAGAAAUUUGAGGGUGCCUUCGGGAAUGCAGUGACAGGUGGUGCAUGGCUGUCGUCAGCUCGUGUCGUGAGAUGUUGGGUUAAGUCCCGCAACGAGCGCAACCCACGUUUUUAGUUGCCAGCAUUUAGUUGGGCACUCUAGAAAGACCGCCGGUGAUAAACCGGAGGAAGGUGUGGAUGACGUCAAGUCAUCAUGCCCCUUACACCCUGGGCUACACACGUACUACAAUGCUACGGACAAAGGGCAGCAAACUCGCGAGAGCUAGCAAAUCCCAUAAACCGUGGCUCAGUUCAGAUCGUAGGCUGCAACUCGCCUACGUGAAGUAGGAAUCGCUAGUAAUCGCAGGUCAGCAUACUGCGGUGAAUACGUUCCCGGGCCUUGUACACACCGCCCGUCACACCAUGGAAGUUGGCCAUGCCCGAAGUCGUUACUCCAACCCUUGUGGAGGAGGACGCCGAAGGUGGGGCUAAUGACUGGGGUGAAGUCGUAACAAGGUAGCCGUACCGGAAGGUGCGGCUG